rnacentral:tRNA from 1 species
UAGAUUGGUGGGCUUUUACCCCACAGCCUUUUAGUUAACAGCUAAACACUCACACAACGAGCUGCAAUCUA